AACGCACCUUGCGCUCCUUGGUAUUCCGAGGAGCAUGCCUGUUUGAGUGUCAUUAAAUUCUCAACCCCUCCAGCUUUUGCGAGUUGUGAUGGGGCUUGGAUAUGGGAGUUUGCGGGUCUUUAUCAAUAAAGGUCAGCUCUCCUGAAAUGCAUUAGCGGAACCGUUUGCAGUCCCGUCACUAGUGUGAUAAUUAUCUACACUGUGAUGAUUGCUCUCUGACUAGUUCAGCUGCUAAUCGUCCACUACGGACAACACUUAAUGAACUUCUUGACCUCAAAUCAGGUAGGACUACCCGCUGAACUUAA
rnacentral:misc_RNA from 1 species